CUCAGUUUACAACAAUGUUUUGCUAUUUACCUUCUAAUCAUUUUAAAGGUUUUCUUCUAAUCAUCAAUCUUUAGAUAUUUGACACCAUUUUUUCUACAUUUUGGUUUUAUUAGCAGCAAGUUUCUGUACUUUUUGGAUGUUAUCUUUUUCUGUCUGCUCUCUCUUGGAUUGUUUCAGAAUAUUUGUACUCAUUUGAAGUAGAAAUCAAGAGUUUUCAGUAACAUUUGGUGGAACGUUUUUGUAUUUCUUCAUUACGCUGAUUAAUAUUCCUACUGGACUCAAAAUGUUGAUAUCAUUUUGGCACAUUUCUGCUUUUGUUCAGAAGAUCAAAAUAAUCUAGAAAGAAAUCUUCUCCUCGAAAUGUCUGCAGUAGGAGUGGAGUUUACAGUUUCCAAUCUUUGAUAUCCUGACAGAUCUAUUUUUUAAUAUUCCUACUAGAAUUAUAUUUGAAUAGAAUAUUUUGCCAAACGUAUUUUUCAUACAAGAGAAGGUUUUAAUGCCUGUUUUUAUAUUUUCAGAAUAUUUUUGCAGCCGCAGUAGGUAACUUGACAUCUUCAUGAUGCCUACCAGACUCCUCUAGAAUUUUACGGUUUUUAUAUGUUUGCAUUGAUAAACAGCCAGUUUCUGUUCGUUUUAUGCUGAUUCUUAAAUCCUCCUGCAGAAAUGUUCCGUCACUUUCUUUUAUUUUCAUCACAUUUCUUCACCUGUGAAGGUUACUGACUGACUGUCGCGACUAAUUUCUCGAUGAAGUUUCUGCAGGAACAGGCAGCGGAUGGUCGGCUGUGUCUUCAGUCUGAUGAUGAGAACCAGCAGCAGCAGUUUCAUCCUGUCGGCUUCUCAGCGAUCAACCUGCAGCAGCUCCUGCAUCAAGUGGGAAACAACACACACGACUUCCUGUGCACGACUUCACAAUAAAAGCCCUGCGCGCAACAUGUGGGGUCACCUGUCUGCCUGCAGGGGGCACUGCUGUCCAACUCACCUGCUGCUGCCUUCACACCUCAUCAUCAUCAUCAUCAUCGUCAAACAGAGUCAUGCAAGGGUCCGACUGAUUCGGGAUUAUAGAUUAUAGAUAAGGACUUUUACUGAAAAUGUAUCUAUUUACUCGUUUAUAAAUAUUGAUUGAUUUUAAUCAAUCAAGUUAGAUUUUUAUAAUUUUGUCUGAAGCCUAUUCCUCCUGUCUGACUUUUAUAAUUAUAUAAUAUUUAUAAUAUAUAACCUUCAUUAUAAAACUGUUUAAACUGAUGACCUCACCCAUUUCUAAUCAUCAGUAUUCAAUCAAUUAAAGAGAAUCAGUGUGUUUCCAGUUUGUCACCGUUUAUUGAUUAAAUGUUCAUUUACAGACAUUGAAGCUGUUUUCAUUUCAAACAGUUAAAGAGCGAAGCAGCUUCAGAUCUUUUUCAUCUCAGCUCACAGACCAAAGUGGAGCACUUUAAUUUGACAGGUCUGUACUUCAAGGUGCUGUUUCCUGUAAAAAAACACUGUAAUUUGGGAAUGAAUGUGGUUUCUGUGGAAUUUAAAUUAAUAAAG